GCUGGUGGGUUUCGUCCCAUUGUAGAAGCUCGGCUGAAGUCUACCCGCUGUAGGGGUUCGGAGUAGACUGCUCGUAGCAGAAGUUCGGCUAUCGCAGGAGCUCGACUGGAAUUCUGAAGGCGGUCGACUGCCGUAAAAACUUGGAUGGGAUCUGAUUACUGUAGAAAUCUCGUUAUCGAAAAAGCUCGGAUAUUGAUGAAGUCCGGAAGGAGUUUGAAGAAUAGUUGAACAUUGUAGAAGGUCGGCUGAUAAUGAGGCUUAGAGAGCCUUUGGAGC
rnacentral:lncRNA from 1 species